CUCAGAACUUAAAGGAAUUGACGGGGCCCGCACAAGCGGUGGAGCAUGUGGUUAAUUCGAAGCAACGCGAAGAACCUUACCUGGUCUUGACAUCCCGGAGACCCUUAGGAAACUAGGGGGUGCUUCCAUCUGGAAGAAUCUGGAGACAGGUGCUGCAUGGCUGUCGUCAGCUCGUGUCGUGAGAUGUUGGGUUAAGUCCCGCAACGAGCGCAACCCUUGCCUUUAGUUGCCAGCAGUUCGGCUGGGCACUCUAAAGGGACUGCCGGUGUUAAACCGGAGGAAGGUGGGGAUGACGUCAAGUCCUCAUGGCCUUUAUGACCAGGGCUACACACGUACUACAAUGGCCGAUACAAAGGGCAGCGACACUGCGAGGUGAAGCCAAUCCCGUAAAAUCGGUCUCAGUCCGGAUUGGAGUCUGCAACUCGACUCCACGAAGUUGGAAUCGCUAGUAAUCGUGGAUCAGCAUGCCACGGUGAAUACGUUCCCGGGCCUU
rnacentral:rRNA from 1 species